AGCAAUUUGGCGCAGUGGAAGCGCGCCGGGCUCAUAACCCGGAGGGUACGUCACACAAUCCUUGAGUCAACAAAGCAUUAGUCUAACAUCAACAAGUCGCAUGAUCGAAACAUGCAAUUGCUA
rnacentral:tRNA from 1 species